UACAGAGGUCUCAAGCGUUGUUCGGAUUCAUUGGGCGUAAAGGGUGCGUAGGCGGUCGGGCAAGUCGGAUGUGAAAUCUCAGGGCUCAACCCUGAAACUGCAUUCGAUACUGCGUGGCUAGAGUGCUGGAGAGGAGACUGGAAUUUACGGUGUAGCAGUGAAAUGCGUAGAUAUCGUAAGGAAGACCAGUGGCGAAGGCGGGUCUCUGGACAGAAACUGACGCUGAGGCACGAAGGCCAGGGGAGCAAACGGG
rnacentral:rRNA from 1 species